rnacentral:rRNA from 1 species
UGGGGAAUAUUGGACAAUGGGCGAAAGCCUGAUCCAGCCAUGUCGCGUGUGUGAAGAAGGUCUUCGGAUUGUAAAGCACUUUAAGUUGGGAGGAAGGGCAGUAAGCGAAUACCUUGCUGUUUUGACGUUACCGACAGAAUAAGCACCGGCUAACUCUGUGCCAGCAGCCGCGGUAAUACAGAGGGUGCAAGCGUUAAUCGGAAUUACUGGGCGUAAAGCGCGCGUAGGUGGUUCGUUAAGUUGAAUGUGAAAGCCCCGGGCUCAACCUGGGAACUGCAUCCAAAACUGGCGAGCUAGAGUAGGGCAGAGGGUGGUGGAAUGUCCUGUGUAGCGGUGAAAUGCGUAGAUAUAGGAAGGAACACCAGUGGCGAAGGCGACCACCUGGGCUCAUACUGACACUGAGGUGCGAAAGCGUGGGGAGCAAACAGG